rnacentral:rRNA from 2 species
UUUAUUGGAGAGUUUGAUCCUGGCUCAGGAUGAACGCUGGCGGCGUGCCUAAUACAUGCAAGUCGAGCGAAUGGAUUAAGAGCUUGCUCUUAUGAAGUUAGCGGCGGACGGGUGAGUAACACGUGGGUAACCUGCCCAUAAGACUGGGAUAACUCCGGGAAACCGGGGCUAAUACCGGAUAACAUUUUGAACCGCAUGGUUCGAAAUUGAAAGGCGGCUUCGGCUGUCACUUAUGGAUGGACCCGCGUCGCAUUAGCUAGUUGGUGAGG